rnacentral:lncRNA from 1 species
AAAUUGACAAUCGAAAAUACAUUGAAAAUCCUAUUCAUGUGAAGAAAUGCCAAUAGGCAAGCCAUAUGCUUCAUUCAAUUGCACCAAAUGAGAGCCUAGCUCAUACAAGUAUCUAUCCUAAUCAAAUCCCACUUUAAAUAUAAAUUUAAUACCAAAUGUGCAUUCAAAGUACCUAAUGAUCAGGAAGUAAUUCAUCUAGAGUGAAUAUUCAGUACCAACCUCGAAGGUAUAAAUUGUUAGAACAAAAGUUUGAGAUAAAAUCAGCAGAAGAAACAGUCAACAACGCCAUGACCUCUAUGAACCAUCGUUGAUAGGUGAUUCUGCCACUGACGCUAUAGAACAUCAGUGGGUAUCGUUGCUGCUUGGUGGAGUUCCAUUUCUCCUUAAGCUUUUAGGGAACCUGAAAACAAAAUUCAAAACAUUCAGAACUCAUAUACUCAUAGCAUCAUACCAUAAAGUUGUACUCUUUGCUAAUUAUAAUUAUAUAUAUAUAUAGAGAGAGAGUCUAGCUACGGUGAGUUACAACUCACGGGCUCCUCCGUGAGUCCGGGUCCAAAAACAUAUCAAAUCACCUCUAAAUUUCGAUUUAUAUGGCUCACUAGAUUCUUCAUAUCAAAAUCUGGUACCACGCAAAAAAUUUUCAUUUUUGGAGUUUUUAAAGUAUUUUUUUGAGAUUUUUAAAAGUGAUACAUAACACAUUGAUUAUUUUAUUAAUAUAGUACAGUCACAUUUAAAAAUCUCAAAAAAUACUUUUAAAAAAUCCAAAAAUAAAAACCUUUUGCGUGGCACCAGAUUUUGAUAUAAAGAAUCUAGUGAGCCAUAUAAAUCAAAAUUUAGAGAUGAUUUGAUAUGUUUUUGGACCCUGACUCACGGAGGAGCCCGUGAGUUACAACUCACCGUAACAUACAUAUACAUACAUACAUAUAUGUGUGUGUUACCUAAGAUCUUAGCAGGCAUUCAAAUCCUCACUUUGGAUCAUGAUGUCUGAUGUGUACAAGAGAAUAUGGACAUAUUACAUAUAUAUGGUCAUGGUGAUCCUCCUGCCCUGAAAGCAAAAGAAACCAACAAAAUGAUAAGUACACAGUUGAAAUUGCUAAUGCCGGAACAAUAAUCAUGAUCUGAAAAUUUUGAAAUGAUAACAGUCAUAAUACAGUAAAAGAAAGAGAUGUAAAUAUCAUUGCCAAAGUUCGUAAUAAAAAAAAACUCUCAUUCAUUUAUGGCCCUAAUAUCUCUAUAACAGAAAAAUGACAGGUGGUUUACAGGACUGUAGCACAUGCAACUUUUAAUAGGAAGAUUUAAAAAGAGAUGUUUUACUAUAGCAGGGCUAGAGAAAACAAAAAUUUGACCAGCACUUACAUGCUUGCAAAUCCAACAGCCUCAUGAAUUCUACCUAAAAUAAAAAGGUCUCAUAUUUGCUCCCAACACCACGAGACUGAUAUGGCGUUCUAUACAUCAACAUCAUGAAAUUAUAUACCCAGGGAGGUAACACAAGUAAAUCAGAUUUUUUUUAUUCCUUUUGGUUUAUGUGUGUGUAAACUGUAAGACAAGUAUGUUCUGUUUAUAAUAGCAGAAGUGGGAGGUAUGCACCCUCUCUUGAGAGAGAGAGAGUAAAGCUUGUCUGUGUUUUUCCCUAGCUAAUGAAGUUCAGAUUUAUGUCUAACUAUUUAUCUGACCAAGUAUCGUAGUAUCUAUUAGCUAUUACUAUAGAAUCUUUCAAAUGACAUAAGAAUUAUUUUUAGGCACUUAAGAUUAUACCAUGAGCUUCCAACAGAACUUAUUAUACAUGUAAACGUCAAACACGAAUAUAAUUAACCAUAGCUACACAGAAGAACAAAAUUAACUCAAGCUCUGAAUAGCACAAUCGAUUAUUAAUCCAAAAUCUAUUUCCCCAUCACACAGUACCAAAUUUAAUGUAAUUCACAGAUCAAGAAUAACUAAUGACCGGCAGAUAAGCAAUUUCACAAGAGGUGGCAGAAAUUAUCCAUAGUUUCUAGAAUCAAACUCCUAGUGGUAAUGAGCUUAGACAAAGAGUCAACCUCCAUAGCUAAUAACACAAAGCGAUGCACAAGUCAGACCAUAUAUCCUCACAGAUGCCCAAAUCGAUCUCAUUCGAUGAAAAUUAACUUCAAGCCAUAAUGUAACCUAAGUAUCGGUAAGAGGGAACAAUAUAUCCGAAUGCAAGUGAACACAGAACAUAAGCAUCCACCAUAAGAACGUAAAUUCAUCUUAAUCCCAUGUCCAAUAGUUCAAUGCUGAAGAAUUGAUAGUUCCAAUCAAGGGUUUAAAAUUAACAGUGAUGGGUAAUAGAACAGGCAUAUUUUACAGGUGCUGCUAAAAUUAACACCCGAUCAUCCAUAUUGUACAUAGACAAAUUCAAGCAUGCAUACCCAAUAACUCAAAUCUAACUGAAGGCUAUAGAUGAAUGCAGCAGGCACGGAUCAAUCGAGAAAGCCGGUCUUCCGCCACGUGACAUUGCGUACCUGGUAGCGGCGGCG